ensembl:lncRNA
ACCCAACAGGGGGCGCCAAACAACAACUAACCUGGACCCACCUCCCGUGAGGGUUUAUAAAUUCUCCAUUUUUGAAGUAGCCCUGGUUUUGCACUUAGGCGCAUUUCAGCCAGAAAAGUUUGGUUGUUGGCUGCUGCAAUAUGUGGACGAUCUGCUCCUGGCCGCUGAGAACAAGGAUGAUUGCUGGGAAGGAACCAAGGCCUCGCUGAGACUGCUGAUGGAGGCUGGUUACCGGGUCUCGAAAAAGAAGGCUCGGAUCUGCAAGGAGGAGAGACUAACCUCACUUCCCCAGAUCAGCAUUAGG